AGGUAACGGAGGCGCUCAAAGGUUCUCUCAGUACGGUCGGAAAUCGUACGUAGAGUGUAAAGGCAAAAGAGAGCUUGAUUGCAAGACAUACAGGUCGAGCAAGGAUGAAAAUCGGACUUAGUGAUCCGGUGGUUCUGCGUGGAAGGGCCAUCGCUCAACGGAUAAAAGCUACCCUGGGGAUAACAGGCUUAUCUCCCCCAAGAGUCCACAUCGACGGGGA
rnacentral:rRNA from 1 species